rnacentral:rRNA from 1 species
UACGAGGGGUGCAAGCGUUGCUCGGAAUUAUUGGGCGUAAAGGGUCAGUAGGUGGUCUCAUUUGUCUGGGGUGAAAGCCUUGAGCUUAACUCAAGAAGUGCCCCAGAAACGGUGAGACUAGAGUCCUGGAGAGGGUCGUGGAAUUCCCGGUGUAGCGGUGAAAUGCGUAGAGAUCGGGAGGAACACCAGAGGCGAAGGCGGGUCUCUGGACAGUUCCUGACGCUGAGGCACGAAGGCCAGGGGAGCAAACGGG